rnacentral:rRNA from 1 species
GAUGAACGCUGGCGGCGUGCCUAAUACAUGCAAGUCGAGCGAACAGACGAGGAGCUUGCUCCUCUGACGUUAGCGGCGGACGGGUGAGUAACACGUGGAUAACCUACCUAUAAGACUGGGAUAACUUCGGGAAACCGGAGCUAAUACCGGAUAAUAUAUUGAACCGCAUGGUUCAAUAGUGAAAGACGGUUUUGCUGUCACUUAUAGAUGGAUCCGCGCCGCAUUAGCUAGUUGGUAAGGUAACGGCUUACCAAGGCGACGAUGCGUAGCCGACCUGAGAGAGUGAUCGGCCACACUGGAACUGAGACACGGUCCAGACUCCUACGGGAGGCAGCAGUAGGGAAUCUUCCGCAAUGGGCGAAAGCCUGACGGAGCAACGCCGCGUGAGUGAUGAAGGUCUUCGGAUCGUAAAACUCUGUUAUUAGGGAAGAACAAAUGUGUAAGUAAAUAUGCACGUCUUGACGGUACCUAAUCAGAAAGCCACGGCUAACUACGUG